UACGAAGGGGGCUAGCGUUGCUCGGAAUUACUGGGCGUAAAGGGCGCGUAGGCGGCACUGUUAGUCAGGCGUGAAAUUCCUGGGCUCAACCUGGGGACUGCGCUUGAUACGGCAGAGCUUGAGGAUGGAAGAGGGUCGCGGAAUUCCCAGUGUAGAGGUGAAAUUCGUAGAUAUUGGGAAGAACACCGGUGGCGAAGGCGGCGACCUGGUCCAUUACUGACGCUGAGGCGCGAAAGCGUGGGGAGCAAACAGG
rnacentral:rRNA from 1 species